GAUUUCCGAAGUUUCAAGGGCGAUUUUCUUGAAGGCGCUAGUGUGGUGGCCCCCAAUAUGGGGGUGGUUCUUCAUCUGCUCUUUAUGCUCUUUCAGAUGGCAGGGUAUCGGCGGGGUCCCAGACACAUCGGGUGUGAUGUUCCCUUGUAAGUGUCCAGAUUAUUGAUGGGAUAAGAAUUCGAAGAUUAUCAUAUGAUACUGGUCUUAAAGCAGAGUUAAAUUUGGAUAAGUGAUUUUAUGUUUUGCUUUGGAAGAGAAAUGUUGUACAUUUGUAAAUCAAAAAUAAUAGCCUUUAACAUGAUUUUUCUGUUCCCUCCAUAUCAGGGAACUGCAAAUGGCAUUGAUGUUCUUGUUCCUUGCAGCCAAUUUCUUAGAUUUCUUGAGCAUGUGCUGCAGUAUAUUUUAGAAGCCCAAGAUUUAUCUCAGUCUCUCACCUUACAGCCAAAAACAGUUUUAUAGGCUUUCUUCACAAUAGGUAUGAUUUCAGUGUUAGUUCACCACAGACAUAACAAAACAUAUUACAAUUAUUUACACAUUU
rnacentral:lncRNA from 1 species